AACGAACGCUGGCGGCAGGCCUAACACAUGCAAGUCGAACGCACCGCAAGGUGAGUGGCGCACGGGUGAGUAACACGUGGGAAUGUACCCUUUGGUUCGGAAUAACGUUUGGAAACGAACGCUAAUACCGGAUGAGCCCUGCGGGGGAAAGAUUUAUCGCCAAAGGAGCAGCCCGCGUCUGAUUAGCUAGUUGGUGGGGUAAAGGCCUACCAAGGCGACGAUCAGUAGCUGGUCUGAGAGGAUGAUCAGCCACACUGGGACUGAGACACGGCCCAGACUCCUACGGGAGGCAGCAGUGGGGAAUAUUGGACAAUGGGCGCAAGCCUGAUCCAGCCAUGCCGCGUGAGUGAUGAAGGCCUUCGGGUUGUAAAGCUCUUUCGCACGCGACGAUGAUGACGGUAGCGUGAGAAGAAGCCCGGCUAACUUCGUGCCAGCAGCCGCGGUAAU
rnacentral:rRNA from 1 species